GUUUCUUCAUUUUAUUGUCAUUUCUUUCUCAGUAUAUGUUACUCGGUUUUGACCAUUACUUUUUCAGGAUUAUGUCUGUCUUAUUAUACAUACUGUCAGGAAAAGCUUCCACUUUGAGUGUUAUUUACUGAAAUUCUGUAUUUCUGCUGGUUUGCGAUUGAUCUUCUUCUAUAUCUUUUUGGAUUGAUUUUUUUGUUUUUAGAUUGCUUUAAUUAUAGUUUUACAUUAUUUCCAUUUCUUUAGUUUCUGGUGAACUGAUACGCUGUUUUGGUUAAAAUUUUGUAUACUUGCCAUUUCUAUAAUUUGAAUGUGAAUUUUUAAGAAUCCUAUUUGGAAACAAUUUCUAUAAGCAUGAGGGGCUUGUAAGUGGUGCUCUAUGAAUUUGGGAUUAGAAAUUCUAAUCAGAACUUGUUUGAUUUUGAAAGUUUUGGGAAACAAACUUGUUUCUCAUUAUUGAUGAAAGCUGAUUUGAUGAUCUGGAUUCAUGUGCAGUUUCACCAGAGAUUAGGCUUCAUUAAAGACGAUUGGGUAUCUGAAUUAUGGGAAGCAAACUGUCAAGGCAUCAAGGUCACUACCAACAUGAUUCAUACAAUCAUGGGGCUCCAUCACUCCCAAGCUCUUCGCCAUACUCGUUUCAUUCUUCAAGAUAUGUAGAGUAUGAUGAAAGAAGCAAGCUGCAACCAAGGCAUUCAUACAACUAUGGGGAUCCAUCACUUCCAAGCUCUUCGCCGUACACGCCUCAUUCUUCAAGGUAUAUUGAUUAUGAUGGAAGAAGCAAACUGCAGUCAAGGUACUCAAGAAUUGGUGACGACUACUACUCUCUAGAACAGGUGACACAAGCUCUUGCACAAGCUGGUUUGGAAUCUUCCAAUCUUAUUGUGGGCAUUGAUUUCACAAAAAGCAAU
rnacentral:misc_RNA from 1 species